rnacentral:rRNA from 1 species
UACGGGGGGAGCAAGCGUUGUUCGGAUUUACUGGGCGUAAAGGGCGCGUAGGCGGCCACCGCAAGUCAGUUGUGAAAUCUCUGGGCUUAACCCAGAACGGUCAGCUGAUACUGCGGGGCUAGAGUGCAGAAGGGGCAACUGGAAUUCUCGGUGUAGCGGUGAAACGCGUAGAUAUCGAGAGGAACACCUGCGGCGAAGGCGGGUUGCUGGGCUGACACUGACGCUGACAGCGCGAAAGCUAGGGGAGCGAACGGG